rfam:Tenacibaculum mesophilum strain DSM 13764 genome assembly, contig: Ga0131220_102
ACUGCGGAAGCCGAAAAGCAUAUAGAGUAAGCA